rfam:Buceros rhinoceros silvestris contig21805, whole genome shotgun sequence.
UUCCUGUAAAAAAAAAAAAGCAGCUUUCAUAUACCUUUAUGCAGUGAAUGGUAGAGAAUUUUAUAAAAA